ensembl:lncRNA
AUGACCAAGCAGGGUAUUAUACCCUUUAUAGUCAUGAAGGGUAGCAGAGUCGUUAUGAUGCGCGAUGAUGCCUACAGCCAGAGAUGGGUCGACUCAUUUAGCUUUUUGCCCAUGCGGUUGGCUAAAGCACCGGAGGCGUUGGAUUUUGAAGAUAUGGCGAAAGGUCAUUUUCCUCAUAAAUUGAACACACGGGCCAACGAGUCUUAUGUCGGUGCAUACCCUGAGAUCUCAUAUUAUGGUUAUGCUUCCAUGACUAGCGAUCAAAAGACAGAUUUCGCUAUAUGGUACAGAUCUGUAAGGCACAAAAAAUGUGACAUUCAGAAACAGCUGCGCCGCUACUGUGUCAACGAUGUGAGGAUCCUGCACACGGCGUGUGGGAUCUACAGGGAAAAUUUCAUAGAGUGUGCAACUAUAGACCCCUUUGCAUAUGCCACUCUGGCUUCGGCGUGCAUGGCCACCUUCAAAAAGUCGUUCUUGAAAAAAAACGUCUUGGCAUUGACCUACGAGGGGGUCUAUCGGAAAAAGCAAAAGUCGUUCUCAUGUGCAUCCAUCCAGUGGCUUGAAUAUCUAUCCCACUCCAAUAACCUGGAGAUUCAGCACGCUCUCAAGCACGGGGAGGCUGAAUUUGGUCCAUUCUUCCUAGAUGGAUAUGCACCUGCUAUAAACACAGCCUAUGAAUUUGCAGGAUGCUUUUAUCAUGGGUGUGAACGGUGCUACAACGCUGGUCAUAAGAAUCCUGUCGUCAAAAAGACCUAUGGUGAAUUAUGGUUGCAGUUUCACCUCAAAGUCACGGCCCUCAAAAGAGAUCAUGGUUUAAGAGUUGUAGUCAUGUGGGAGUGUGAGUGGCACAGACUGAAAAAGACAGAUGCUGCAGUGCAGGCAUUCUUGGCUACUCUGAAGAUACAACCCAGGAUUGAUCCUCGCGACUCUCUCUAUGGGGGUCGCACCAAUGCCAUCAAAAUGUACCACAAGGCCGAGCCCGGUGAAAAAAUACGCUACUAUGACUUUACAUCUCUCUACCCCACAGUACAGACCCGCUGUCCAUAUCCUAUAGGACACCCCAAGAUCAUUUUCAGGAAUUUUGGUCCUUUGGAUGGGUAUUUCGGCGUCGUCAAAUGCACUGUGUUGCCCCCCAGAGGUCUUUACCAUCCUGUGCUCCCUUACAGGUGUCCUGGGCAGCUGAUGUUUCCCCUCUGUGGUACAUGCGCCACUGAGCUCAAUCAGACAGACGCAUGUCAUCACGGCGAUGAUGAAAGGGCUCUGACAGGUACAUGGGUGACUUUAGAGGUAGAAAAGGCCGUGGAAAAGGGGUACGUGAUAAUACAGAUGCAUGAAGUAUGGCACUACCCCAAGUGGUCAAAGUCUCUGUUUAAAGGGUAUGUCAAAACGUUUCUCAAGCGUAAACAGGAGGCUUCAGGAUACCCCAGCACAGUGGAUACUGUGGAGAAACAGCAGGCGUAUGUGCAAAACUAUCUGGUUAAGGAAGGCAUACAGCUGGAUCACGACAACAUGAGCGUUAACAAAGCCAUGCGUAAUUGCAACAAGUUGAUUCUCAACAGCCUGUGGGGUCGCUUUUCGCUACGCCCAGACCUACCCACUUGUGAGCUAAUUGCUGCACCUGAAAGGUUCACCCAGCUCAUGUUCAGUGACAGCUAUCACAUUAGCCACUUUUGUUUUGUUUCUGAUGAGGUGGCCCUUGUACAAUGGAAACACAAAGAUGCCCGUCUCGAAAGGGCUCGGGAUGUUAACGUGAUUGUGGGGGCUGUGACUACGGCCCAUGCCAGGCUCAUGCUCUAUGACCUUCUAGACAAAUUACAGGAGCGUAUCCUCUAUUGUGACACAGACAGCAUCAUUUUUGUUUCUAAGGAGGGUGAUUGGGUACCCCCUUUAGGUCCUUAUCUGGGCGACUUGACCGACGAGAUAAAUGAUGGCGAUCGGUAUGGUACCGAGCAGGAGGAUUACAUUAGCGAAUAUGUCUCAACAGGUCCUAAAAGCUAUGCCUACCACACACGUCAGCACAAGUCUGUAGUCAAAUGCAAAGGGGUGACUUUAAAUGCAGCAAAUGCUAAAGUGGUCACCCAGCAGACACUGAAAUGUCUAAUAGAUGAUUUUGUCAACAAUCGACCGCAAACCCGCGACAUCACCACCACGGUAGAUACCAUUCAAAGGAAUAAGAAUAAGCUUCUGCUUAAAAACGCUACUGUGGUUAAACGACUUAGGGUGGUUUACAACAAACGCAGGGUUUUUCCCGACUACACCACGCUUCCUUACGGCUAUUAA